UGAGCAAUCUGCCCUUCUCUUCGGAAUAAACGUUGGAAACGACGUCUAAUGGCGAAUACGACCUCCUUUCGCAUGAUCGGAGGUGGAAAGCUCCGGCGGAGAAGGAUGAGCUCGCGGCCUAUCAGCUAGUUGGUGUGGGUAAUGGCCCACCAAGGCGACGACGGGUAGCCGGCCUGAGAGGGUGACCGGCCACACUAGGACUGAGACACGGCCCAGACUCCUACGGGAGCAGCAGG
rnacentral:rRNA from 1 species